AACGAACGCUGGCGGCAGGCCUAACACAUGCAAGUCGAGCGCCCAGCAAUGGGAGCGGCAGACGGGUGAGUAACGCGUGGGAACCUUCCCAAUGGUACGGAAUAGCUCAGGGAAACUUGAGGUAAUACCGCAUAAGCCCGAGAGGGGAAAGAUUUAUCGCCAUUGGAUGGGCCCGCGUAGGAUUAGCUAGUUGGUGAGGUAAUGGCUCACCAAGGCGACGAUCCUUAGCUGGUUUGAGAGAAUGACCAGCCACACUGGGACUGAGACACGGCCCAGACUCCUACGGGAGGCAGCAGUGGGGAAUCUUGGACAAUGGGCGCAAGCCUGAUCCAGCCAUGCCGCGUGAGUGACGAAGGUCUUCGGAUUGUAAAGCUCUUUUGCCAGGGACGAUAAUGACGGUACCUGGAGAAUAAGCCCCGGCUAACUUCGUGCCAGCAGCCGCGGUAAU
rnacentral:rRNA from 1 species